UACGUAGGGGCAAGCGUUGUCCGGAUUUAUUGGGCGUAAAGAGCGUGUAGGCGGCUUUACAGGUCCGUUGUGAAAACUCGAGGCUCAACCUCGAGACGCCGGUGGAAACCGUAAGGCUAGAGUCCGGAAGAGGAGAGUGGAAUUCCUGGUGUAGCGGUGAAAUGCGCAGAGUAUCAGGAGGAACACCCGUGGCGAAAGCGGCUCUCUGGGACGGUACUGACGCUGAGACGCGAAGCGUGGGAGCAA
rnacentral:rRNA from 1 species